GCGCCAAUAGUUUAAUGGUAAAACAAAAGUGUCCGAAGCUUAAGAUAGGGGUUCAAUUCCUCUUUGGCGUGCCA
rnacentral:tRNA from 6 species